GUGUUUGCUUCAGCAACACAUAUACUAAAAUUGGAACGAUACAGAGAAGAUUGGCAUGGCCCUUGUGCAAGGGUGACAUGCAAAUUCAUGAAGCAUUCCAUAUUUCU